ensembl:lincRNA
AGAGUGGGGUCAUUAUCCACACACAAAAGGCCAUUUAGAGAAGGGACAGCUCAGGCAGUUCAAGCUGUGGCUGCCAGAGUCCAGACCCAUUAGAAAAAAAGGUUAGCUGUUUAAGUGGGAAUGCGAAACAAAAUGUAAUAAUUAGGGCGAACCAGCACCCUCCCCCUGCCGAGAAACUGCCUGGAAUGGUAAACUAAUUCCCCGAAAGUCCUGAGCUUAGGGGAAAGCAAAUCAUCAACUUGAAAUGCCAGCUCGGUUGUUAACCUUUACCCGAGAGGCUUGAUUUUCCAUUCAUUCUUUUUUUUUUUUGGCAUUUUUUAAAUAGAGGCCACUUUUAUGUGGUUGAGCUGUUCUUUCUCUAAUUCACCACUAUUGACAUGUUUGUCACUGUCGUUGUUAUGUGUGUGCAUGUGUGUGUGAAAUAAAGGAAAUAAAUAAAUAAAUAACAUGUCCUAGAAUUAGCAGUGGUGAGUUACCUUUAGCGAUGUAGUACUUAGAAGAAUUGGGAAUUAAUUUUUUUCUCCCCUCCUUACCGCUGAGUUGCUCUUUUAUGAAUGUGUGAAGGGAAAGGGAGAGAAAAGGCAUAUAAAAUAUUUCUGACAAAGUUUUCUACCAUGUCUCACCUAGAACAGGAAAAACAGUUUCACCAUGAAUAACUGGGAGGAGAAAAGCAGGAUAUGCCUCAGACAAGAGCUGCUGUCAGGAAGAACUGUAUCAACAGCAAAGAGGACCCAACACCAGGGGAUAAGAACUGAUGUAAAAGUUCCUGAACUUCACUCGGGACAUUCUGAACUGCAUUCACAUUCUUUUAUGUGUGACUUUUACCUUACCACAAAACCAUACAGAACAGAGGCUCUACUUGCAAUCCCACCACUCCUUCUUUUCACGUCAAUGUUUACUUCACCUAGAUUUUAUUUUGAAAUCUAUCUUUCCACUUCAAUUGUGAACAACUUUCCAAAAUGCUGUAUUCCUUGAAGCAGAUUUGCUGCUAACAGAACUUCCCUCUGACCUUGCAUCGACAAGUACAGCCUUGGGACAACCGUUACGACCCAAGUACACAUAAUUACAUUUUUGGAAUACAUCCUUCUUGCUUUUUUUUGACACGUAUUAUGGACAAAAAAUUUGGGAGCAAAGCAGCUCUUGGAUUUACAAGUCAUUUAAUCAUGUCAUCUCCCCAGCUCAGGAUUUUCUCAGAUCAAUAAAGUCUGCAAAAUUAAUCAGAGCAGCCUGGAGGAGUCCCCAGCAAGUGUCACAGAGGACUCCAUGCACAGGAACUCUGCCAAGCAGCGGCAAAGUUUCUUUGGAGCCACGUGUCAUUCAACUCUGUACUAAUCCUAGUGCUGCGCCUGGGGCAAAGCAGAAGUAGAUUCUGAACGGAAACCAGACUGACACCAAUGACACCACAAAUCCCAAUUCUACCAUGUCAGUGCUGUUGCUGAAGCCCCACAAGUUUAAAUAUUUGAAUAAUGUGAGACAGUAAUGAAACUUAUCUAGUAUCUUGAUAAUUUGAAAAAUAGCCUGGAAGUGACAACAUUGGUAAUGGUUAUUUUAAGGGUUGAAUAUGUACCUGACCUUAAAUAUAUGUGAGCCUUUGCGUCCACUCUUGCAAUCCUACUUCCCAACAGCCUGAUGAGGCAGGUAUUUGUACCCCAUUUUACAGGUGUGUUAACUGCAUUACACAGCCACGUCAUCCACUGGCAAACAGCACAGGAGGUGAAGUCAAGCUCUGUGUGACUCGAACGCCCCUUGCAUCAUCCUUACAAUAUACGUGGCAUUUUGCAGAUGCUUAGAUGACUCCAAAGUCCAUGCUAUUUCCACAGGCUAAACUCCCUGACCUCCAAGACAGCAAGACAGAGGGACAUUGCUGGUAUUCACAUCUGAGUCUCACCCAUGGUCUGAACAGAGACAUCCUUAUGGGGGUCAAGGCUAAGGAAUGCCUCCAUGAUUACACACCUCAGAACGCAAACUGACAUUCAAGUUUUUCAUUACACCCUUGGAAAUAAAUCUUGACUGCCUUCUCUUUUCUUAGAAGACCCUUUCCUUGGCUAUGAAAAUACUGGCAAAGGAGUGGGAGCAACAGUAGAAUGCAAAGGGAACUGAAAUGGAUUAAGAGAACUUUAUUAAAGUUGAUACAUACAUAGUUCCAAAGGAUAAAGAAAACCAUAGUCCAGGGGAAAAUGAGCAAAAGCAAAUUAUGACUUAUCCAACCUAGACAAUACGGCAGUGGUGAUAAAGCUGUUGCAGCAUUACAGACAAUAACAGCAUUUCUAAGGCUGCCUGACGAGUCUUUGAAAUGGAAGUCCAGCUGGUGUUAACCUUUCAGAAGCUGAGACUUUCUUCAAAGAUAUUGCUAACUAGCUUAUAUGACUUAUUCCCCAUCAGAGAUGAACUUGAAAGAGCAACCUCACUCUAGGAAUAACUUCCAAGAUCUAGGAGGAGUCACUGUGGUUCUGUUUGCUCACUGGCCCCACAAAUUAUUAUUCCCUCCAGAGGAGGAUAUCACAUUUCUCUCACAUUUAUUUUCUCAUUUUCCUGAGACAAUAUAAAUUGAUCCUAAAUUAUAGCUUCUAGCACCACUCUGGGGGCCAAAGUGUGCUUGGCAUGCCGUGCUUCUGAGGCGAGUGAAGAAGGGGGAGGAGGAGGAAGAAGGAGGGGAGGGAGAAGGAAAGGCCGAGGGAGAGCAGACAAUGAAGACACUGUGACGAGUACCCACAGCCCAACAUGGCUGCUCCGUGAAGGGCAUGUUGGGAGAAGAAGGUAGGGAAGAACCUCUCCAGAGAGAGUUUACACAGGACAGCUGUGGCCCAGGGAAAAAUAUGGUGAGGGGUGUGCAAAUCCAUAAAGGUUGUGGACCAAGGCACAGCAAGUGACAAAGAACCUUUGAAGAAGUAAGAAGUCGUUAAAUAUGAGUUAAGAUACAGGGAAUGAACAUUGGGAGAGUAGGUCAGAGUCUCUAAAUAAGCCAGUCUGUCAGCUAUUCAUUAGGUGAAGAACCAACCCUUCAAGAACAACAGUUAAUGCAGCUUUGCCGUUUUUGUUGUUGUUGUUGGUUUUUUUUAGCUUUGCUGUUUUAUGCAUGUGUUCCUUCUUGGACCUCAGUGUGUAUGUGUGUGUUUCCUUCCCAUUAAGUGAUGAUCUUUCCUUGAGGACACCACAUGAGUCGGGGCUCCUUAUACAUCAGUACGUGAAAGUUGAGACCAGUUAGAAAAUGUCUUCCAAGUAAACUGCUGAGUAAAAUUGAAAGAAAUGUAGAAUAUAUUUUAAGCAUGUAUGGACCACAAGACAAUGUCAAAGAAUGUUUGCCAGAAAGGUUAAAUGUAAGGCUUGAGAGAAAAGAGCUAGGAACUGGCAAAAAGGAGCAGCUAUGAAGUAGUGGAUGUGGGAUCUCACGUCACACGCAGACGACGGAUGUGCGCAAACAGUACCUCGAGACUUUGCCAAGAACCAGUGAGAAGCACAGUAAGACGGUCUUAAGUAGGUGAAAAGCGGGUCCAGCUAAUCCUUAUAGGAAAUGGGUGGGAUGAAACUACUAUAAAUAAAUCAAGAUGACACUGGAAAGUCCUGAUCGUCUGUCAGGAAGUACAAAGCUGAUUUCAAACAACAUAAUUUCUAAGUUCUCAAGAAGGGAAAAAAUAUAAUUAAAAUGAUGCUUGAGGCAAAU